GACUACCGGGGUAUCUAAUCCUGUUUGCUCCCCACGCUUUCGCACCUCAGUGUCAGUAUCAGUCCAGGUGGUCGCCUUCGCCACUGGUGUUCCUUCCUAUAUCUACGCAUUUCACCGCUACACAGGAAAUUCCACCACCCUCUACCGUACUCUAGCUCAGUAGUUUUGGAUGCAGUUCCCAGGUUGAGCCCGGGGCUUUCACAUCCAACUUGCUGAACCACCUACGCGCGCUUUACGCCCAGUAAUUCCGAUUAACGCUUGCACCCUUCGUAUUACCGCGGCUGCUGGCACGAAGUUAGCCGGUGCUUAUUCUGUUGGUAACGUCAAGACAGCAAGGUAUUAACUGACUGCCCUUCCUCCCAACUUAAAGUGCUUUACAAUCCGAAGACCUUCUUCACACACGCGGCAUGGCUGGAUCAGGCUUUCGCCCAUUGUCCAAUAUUCCCCACUGCAGCCCCCCGUAGG
rnacentral:rRNA from 1 species